GUGUAUGUGAGAACUUUGCUGUUGCAUCUUAUUUUAUACACAUUACACCUUAAUGACAACACAGCCUAAUGUAUAAAUACAUACAUUUCUCAGAAUCAGAAUUCAUACAGUUAAAAAUAUAGGGGCUACAAUGUCUGUCAAUGCACAGCAGCCUUAAUACUCACAAUUGAAUAUAGAAUAGAACAGGUAUAGCCAACCCUGGUCCUCGAGAACCACUGCCCUGCUUGUUUUCCAGCUGUCCCUGCCCUUCCAGCUUCUGAUUGACAACUGAUCCAUUACUAAUCAGCAGUAUGUAAGGCAUGGAUCGUUAGAAAACAAGCAGGGCAGUGGCUUUCGAAGAUCAGGGUUGGCUGCCUUGGAUUUACUCAACGUUAAUGAUUAUAUGGCUACAGUAAUUGAUGAUGUAGAAUUGGACAGACAGACAUUGGCAGACAUUCUUGUUAAAACUGCCUUCAAUAAUGUACACAAUGGUCCUGAAACUCUAAUAACAGCAUUUCCUAAUGUUGUGUUGCUACUUGACAGCUGCAUUGCGGAGAGAGCACAGAAGUGAGGGUGGCACCAGACCCUCACGGAGCGCUUACCCUAUGUCAACUGCAAUCUUGCUCUUCAGUUUUUGCAGCCCUAUAUUCACCGAAAUCAGCAGGCAAUGAAGACUGAUUUAGGUUCUAAAAAAACAGUCAAGCCUAAUGCCCUGCGUAAACACAAAAUGUGACAGCAAGUGUCAUGUUCACUUUUGGAGUUUAAGUAGUCUUGUUUGAAGGGUGUGUGUAUAUAUUAAUGUGCUGAUUUUUCUUUCAGGAUUCCAAAGGAAGGUCUUUUUUCAUGCUGUUUGGUUUAAAAGAUGAACUUGAGCGAAUAUCUGCCAUUCUGGACCCUGGCAAGUCUACAUCAUCUUUUAAAAGACUGGAUUAAGAGAGUGACCUAAAAUCCUUUGAAGAAUACAUCAAAGAUGAUGAAAAGAAGUGGAUCUGUGUUCAGCAACUGUCCAGAGUUGGUGGAUCUUCUGUCAGGGACUGCGUUAACCAAAUCAUGAACAGAGUCAUGUCAAAUGCCUUAAUGGCCAAAUUCAAUAUGAGGGGUGGUGGCCAACUUGACAAAAAGCCUUUCAAAGCUACAGCUUUGUACUAUGUAAUUCAAGAUAUGCUCUAAAGAGGUGGAGUCCAACUGCCACAGAUUCCGAAAUUGACACAGCAAUGGCGGAACACCUAAAACAUGCUCCAGGAUAAGCUGGGGGUGGUGGCUAUAAGAAAUGAGCUGUGCUACAGAAAUGUGCUAUAGUAAACAUUUUGAAAUAAUAGUAAAUAAAUAAAGAUUAUAAAUAUA